rnacentral:rRNA from 1 species
GCCUAACACAUGCAAGUCGAACGGUGAACACGGAGCUUGCUCUGUGGGAUCAGUGGCGAACGGGUGAGUAACACGUGAGCAACCUGCCCCUGACUCUGGGAUAAGCGCUGGAAACGGCGUCUAAUACUGGAUACGAGACGUGAUCGCAUGGUCAACGUCUGGAAAGAUUUUUCGGUUGGGGAUGGGCUCGCGGCCUAUCAGCUUGUUGGUGAGGUAAUGGCUCACCAAGGCGUCGACGGGUAGCCGGCCUGAGAGGGUGACCGGCCACACUGGGACUGAGACACGGCCCAGACUCCUACGGGAGGCAGCAGUGGGGAAUAUUGCACAAUGGGCGAAAGCCUGAUGCAGCAACGCCGCGUGAGGGAUGACGGCCUUCGGGUUGUAAACCUCUUUUAGCAGGGAAGAAGCGAAAGUGACGGUACCUGCAGAAAAAGCGCCGGCUAACUACGUGCCAGCAGCCGCGGUAAUACGUAGGGCGCAAGCGUUAUCCGGAAUUAUUGGGCGUAAAGAGCUCGUAGGCGGUUUGUCGCGUCUGCUGUGAAAUCCCGAGGCUCAACCUCGGGCCUGCGGUGGGUACGGGCAGACUAGAGUGCGGUAGGGGAGAUUGGAAUUCCUGGUGUAGCGGUGGAAUGCGCAGAUAUCAGGAGGAACACCGAUGGCGAAGGCAGAUCUCUGGGCCGUAACUGACGCUGAGGAGCGAAAGGGUGGGGAGCAAACAGGCUUAGAUACCCUGGUAGUCCACCCCGUAAACGUUGGGAACUAGUUGUGGGGUCCAUUCCACGGAUUCCGUGACGCAGCUAACGCAUUAAGUUCCCCGCCUGGGGAGUACGGCCGCAAGGCUAAAACUCAAAGGAAUUGACGGGGACCCGCACAAGCGGCGGAGCAUGCGG